UCAGAACGAACGCUGGCGGCAGGCCUAACACAUGCAAGUCGAGCGCUACCUUCGGGUGGAGCGGCGGACGGGUUAGUAACGCGUGGGAACGUACCCAGAUCUAAGGAAUAGCCACUGGAAACGGUGAGUAAUACCUUAUACGCUUCGGGGGAAAGAUUUAUCGGAUUUGGAUCGGCCCGCGUUAGAUUAGAUAGUUGGUGGGGUAAUGGCCUACCAAGUCUACGAUCUAUAGCUGGUUUUAGAGGAUGAUCAGCAACACUGGGACUGAGACACGGCCCAGACUCUACGGGAGGCAGCAGUGGGGAAUCUUGGACAAUGGGCGCAAGCCUGAUCCAGCCAUGCCGCGUGAGUGAUGAAGGCCUUAGGGUCGUAAAGCUCUUUCGCCAGAGAUGAUAAUGACAGUAUCUGGUAAAGAAACCCCGGCUAACUCCGUGCCAGCAGCCGCGGUAAUACGGAGGGGGUUAGCGUUGUUCGGAAUUACUGGGCGUAAAGCGUACGUAGGCGGAUUAGUCAGUCAGAGGUGAAAUCCCAGGGCUCAACCCUGGAACUGCCUUUGAUACUGCUAGUCUUGAGUUCGAGAGAGGUGAGUGGAAUUCCAAGUGUAGAGGUGAAAUUCGUAGAUAUUUGGAGGAACACCAGUGGCGAAGGCGGCUCACUGGCUCGAUACUGACGCUGAGGUACGAAAGUGUGGGGAGCAAACAGGAUUAGAUACCCUGGUAGUCCACACCGUAAACGAUGAAUGCCAGUCGUCGGGCAGUAUACUGUUCGGUGACACACCUAACGGAUUAAGCAUUCCGCCUGGGGAGUACGGUCGCAAGAUUAAAACUCAAAGGAAUUGACGGGGGCCCGCACAAGCGGUGGAGCAUGUGGUUUAAUUCGAAGCAACGCGCAGAACCUUACCAACCCUUGACAUCCUAUGACAACCUGAGAGAUCAGGCUUUCCUUCGGGACAUAGUGACAGGUGCUGCAUGGCUGUCGUCAGCUCGUGUCGUGAGAUGUUCGGUUAAGUCCGGCAACGAGCGCAACCCACAUCCCUAGUUGCCAGCAGUUCGGCUGGGCACUCUAUGGAAACUGCCCGUGAUAAGCGGGAGGAAGGUGUGGAUGACGUCAAGUCCUCAUGGCCCUUACGGGUUGGGCUACACACGUGCUACAAUGGCAACUACAGUGAGUUAAUCUCCAAAAGUUGUCUCAGUUCGGAUUGGGGUCUGCAACUCGACCCCAUGAAGUCGGAAUCGCUAGUAAUCGCGUAACAGCAUGACGCGGUGAAUACGUUCCCGGGCCUUGUACACACCGCCCGUCACACCAUGGGAGUUGGUUCUACCCGACGGCCGUGCGCUAACCUCUUCG
rnacentral:rRNA from 1 species